GCUAACGAAACAAUGGGAGUAUGACGAAUCACGAACAGGAAGUUUUGCUGUUCAAAAAUUAUUAGCGUAAUGAAGUUUGUUAUGACGGUUCUUGAGACUGUUCGGUGCUUUCGCGAUUAGCAGUCCCAAAAUACGAUUUAUGAGGAUUUUCGUAUGUUAAUGUAUGACCGGGGCCAAGUUGAAUGACAGGCAGCUGCUAUCCUAACUGGAUUACAAGAAAUUGGUCUUUAUACAAAAACAGGAAACAUAUGAUCAAUAACCAUAAUUAAAGAAAGGAUAAUAGAAUUUAACAAGUAAAAUCAAAGACUGAUGAAAAUAAGACGAACGUGCCACGAUCGUUAAGAAAAGGAAAUAAAGUCUAUGACACCUGGUCGCUUAAGUAAGGUAAAAAUAUAUUGCGUUGUAAAAACAGGAUUACAAGGCAAUAUGUGCCGUCAAUGUGUAAAUCAUUAAUUUUAAAUUUAAAUAAAAAAAUAAUUGGUGAAA